GACGAACGCUGGCGGCGCGCCUAACACAUGCAAGUCGAACGAGCGAGAGAGAGCUUGCUUUCUCGAGCGAGUGGCGAACGGGUGAGUAACGCGUGAGGAACCUGCCUCAAAGAGGGGGACAACAGUUGGAAACGACUGCUAAUACCGCAUAAGCCCACGACCCGGCAUCGGGUAGAGGGAAAAGGAGCAAUCCGCUUUGAGAUGGCCUCGCGUCCGAUUAGCUAGUUGGUGAGGUAACGGCCCACCAAGGCGACGAUCGGUAGCCGGACUGAGAGGUUGAACGGCCACAUUGGGACUGAGACACGGCCCAGACUCCUACGGGAGGCAGCAGUGGGGAAUAUUGCACAAUGGGGGAAACCCUGAUGCAGCGACGCCGCGUGGAGGAAGAAGGUCUUCGGAUUGUAAACUCCUGUUGUUGAGGAAGAUAAUGACGGUAC
rnacentral:rRNA from 1 species